CCUACGGGUGGCAGCAGUGAGGAAUAUUGGUCAAUGGGCGUAAGCCUGAACCAGCCAAGUCGCGUGAGGGAUGAAGGUUCUAUGGAUCGUAAACCUCUUUUAUAAGGGAAUAAAGUGUGGGACGUGUCCUGUUUUGUAUGUACCUUAUGAAUAAGGAUCGGCUAACUCCGUGCCAGCAGCCGCGGUAAUACGGAGGAUCCGAGCGUUAUCCGGAUUUAUUGGGUUUAAAGUGUGCGUAGGCGGCCUUUUAAGUCAGCGGUGAAAUUCUGUGGCUCAACCAGAGACUUGCCGUUGAAACUGGCAGGCUUGAGUAUGUUAGAGGCAGGCGGAAUGCGUGGUGUAGCGGUGAAAUGCAUAGAUAUCACGCAGAACCCCGAUUGCGAAGGCAGCCUGCCAGGCCAUGACUGACGCUGAGGCACGAAAGCGUGGGGAUCAAACAGGAGUAGAUACCCUAGUAGUC
rnacentral:rRNA from 1 species